AGGCCCCUGCUUGCAGGGGUACUCGAGUGGCGAACGGGUGAGUAACACGUGGGUGAUCUGCCCUGCACUUCGGGAUAAGCCUGGGAAACUGGGUCUAAUACCGGAUAGGACCACGUUUUGGAUGGCGUGGUGGAAAGUUUUUUCGGUGUGGGAUGAGCUCGCGGCCUAUCAGCUUGUUGGUGGGGUAAUGGCCUACCAAGGCGUCGACGGGUAGCCGGCCUGAGAGGGUGUACGGCCACAUUGGGACUGAGAUACGGCCCAGACUCCUACGGGAGGCAGCAGUGGGGAAUAUUGCACAAUGGGCGCAAGCCUGAUGCAGCGACGCCGCGUGGGGGAUGACGGCCUUCGGGUUGUAAACUCCUUUCGCUAGGGACGAAGCGCAAGUGACGGUACCUGGAGAAGAAACACCGGCUAACUACGUGCCACCAGCCGCGGUAAUACGUAUGGUGCGAGCGUUGUCCGGAAUUACUGGGCGUAAAGAGCUCGUAGGUGGUUUGUCGCGUCGCUUGUGUAAGCCCGCAGCUUAACUGCGGGACUGCAGGCGAUACGGGCAUAACUUGAGUGCUGUAGGGGAGACUGGAAUUCCUGGUGUAGCGGUGGAAUGCGCAGAUAUCACGAGGAACACCGAUGGCGAAGGCAGGUCUCUGGGCAGUAACUGACGCUGAGGAGCGAAAGCAUGUGUAGCGAACAGGAUUAGAUACCCUGGUAGUCCAUGCCGUAAACGGUGGGCGCUAGGUGUGAGUCCUCUUCCACGG
rnacentral:rRNA from 1 species